AUUGAACGCUGGCGGCAUGCCUUACACAUGCAAGUCGAACGGUAACAGGUCUUCGGAUGCUGACGAGUGGCGAACGGGUGAGUAAUACAUCGGAACGUGCCUAGUAGUGGGGGAUAACUACUCGAAAGAGUGGCUAAUACCGCAUGAGAUCUACGGAUGAAAGCAGGGGGUCGCAAGACCUUGUGCUACUAUAGCGGCCGAUGGCAGAUUAGGUAGUUGGUGGGAAAAAAGCUUACCAAGCCGACGAUCUGUAGCUGGUCUGAGAGGAAGAUCAGCCACACUGGGACUGAGACACGGCCCAGACUCCUACGGGAGGCAGCAGUGGGGAAUUUUGGACAAUGGGCGAAAGCCUGAUCCAGCAAUGCCGCGUGCAGGAUGAAGGCCUUCGGGUUGUAAACUGCUUUUGUACGGAACGAAAAGCCCCGGGUUAAUACCCUGGGGUCAUGACGGUACCGUAAGAAUAAGCACCGGCUAACUACGUGCCAGCAGCCGCGGUAA
rnacentral:rRNA from 1 species